rnacentral:rRNA from 1 species
UUUGCUGCUCCACGAGGCGCGAUCUGCGAGUCGGCUGUUUGGGAAUGCAGCCUAAGUGGGAGGUAAAUUCCUUCUAAGGCUAAAUAUUGGCAAGAGACCGAUAGCGAUCAAGUACCGCCGGAAAGAUGAAAAAGACUAUGACAAGUUCCACUGCCCAAUUGUCAACGUGGGAGAUCUGGUCGCUUCGCCUGGGUGUGACGAGAAGACCGCGGGGCACUGUGCCCCUCGUUGGUCGUCACACAACACGG